rnacentral:rRNA from 1 species
AUAGCCCAGCACCGAAGCCUGUGGUUAUUUGAUCACUAGGCAAUGUGGUGUUCAGGUUAUCUCGCAGAAGUGCUGCUCCACCCUAAGUCCAAAAAUGAGUACGGUAAUAUGGACACGGCCCACAGAGGGUGAAAGGCCCGUGGGGGUGGAGACUCGGUAGGCCAGCACUUCUCUGAGCAGACCUUCGAGUCGGGUUGUUUGAGAUUGCAGCCCAAAGCGGGUGGUAGACUCCAUCCAAGGCUAAAUACUUGCACGAGUCCGAUAGCGAACAAGUACCGUGAGGGAAAGUUGAAAAGUACUUUGAAGAGAGAGUAAACAGUGCGUGAAACCGCUCAGAGGUAAACGGGUGGAGUUGAACUGCGAACCCUGAGAAUUCAACUGGUGAGUGUGGUUUGAACUUGGGCAUAGUGGCUGGCUUUGCGAGUCUGCUUAGCUGCAGGUCUCCACCUCUUGGUGGGGAUGCGCGAGGCACUUGUGAAGUGUUGCGCGCUCGUUGAGCAAAUCGGGCCAACUUGCCAGUGCACUUUCUCGGGGUGUUCACCACGACCGGCGCCGCCAUUGGUCCAAUAUGAUCGAACCGGUUUUUCUGGGUCCUUGUGGCUCUGUUCAAUCGGGAUGGCAGGUAACUCGUUGGCUUGUGUGUUGGCCUCGGUUGACAUACGCUUGGCCUUCGAGUGUAAUCAGCCGAUUGUGUUGGCACUAUGUGGCGCGUCGGAGACGGCGGCUUGUGGUGUGUGCCUACGUGCCUAUUUCACUGACGAGGCCGAGUUUGGUUAUCAUGUUGCCAGUUCUCCUGGCCUGAUGAUAGCUCGGCUUUGCUUGGUGUAUGGUGGCGUGUGUGACACCUAUCAGGGCCUAUAGUCUGUGGUGUUGUGGUAGACUAUCCACCUGACCCGUCUUGAAACACGGACCAAGGAGAGUAACAUGUGCGCGAGUCAUUGAGCAUUACGAAACUCAAAGGCGAAGUGAAAGUAAAGACUCGACUUGUUCGAGUUGUGGUGAGAUCCUGUCGUUUCUCAUGCGCGGUACUACCAAGCAUUCGAGCGAUAGGCGCAUCACCGGCCCGUCCCAUGGUGUGGUCACUGUCUUCGGAUUAGUGCGUCACCGGGGCGGAGCAUGAGCGCACAUGUUGAGACCCGAAAGAUGGUGAACUAUGCUUGCUCAGGUUGAAGCCAGAGGAAACUCUGGUGGAGGACCGCAGCGAUUCUGACGUGCAAAUCGAUCGUCAAAAGUGAGUAUAGGGGCGAAAGACUA